rnacentral:sRNA from 1 species
GUGCGGCCUGAAAAUGAGCGCUGCGCGUUUAAAAUAUGAGAAUAACUUACCGCGCAGCUACGAUUUCCCUGGUGUUGGCGCAGUAUUCGCGCACCCCGGUUAAUCC